UCUCUUCCCCCCCCCCCCCCCUCUCUUAAUCAACCACAUAAAAGAAAUACAUAAACAAAAGCAAACCCUAAAGAUUAAGAAAAGUUUUGAUUUUUAAGUUUUUUUUAAUACGAGUCUUUCAAACUCCCAUCUUGAAAUGGCAGAGAUACGCCCACCUGAGACCCAUCCAAACAACGGCGGCGGCGGCGGUAGCAGCGGAGGUGGAGGAGGGGCACUAACAUCAUCGGAAACUGUGGGGUCAAAGAGGCAGCGGAGGCCAAGUGUCCGAUUAGGCGAGAUAGGCGGUGGAGACCAGCUUUAUGAAUCCCAGCACCACCGUAGAACUGCCAGCAACAGUAACAAGCAAUGGAAACAACAACAACAACAACAACAGAGUUUGGGUUUUAAAGAGGCAAGUAAAUCAUCAAAGACUCGAGCUUUAACGAAUUUAAGUGAGUUUAAUGAAAUCCUUGAUGGGGAUAAUGAUAUUAAUUUGGAUAGUGUUGCAAUUGGGAGUUGGAGAGUUAAUCAUUCUUCGAAAAAGAGAGGGUCUUUGAAUGUUAGUGCAAAGCGAGUUAGGUCUAACUGGGUGUCUAAAUUUGAUGAUAGUAGUGGUGGUCGUGGUAAUGGUGGUGAAGGGGAGGAGAAAUACAGUGGUGGUGAAGACGACGACGACGACGACGAGGAGGAGGAGGAGGAGGAGGAGGAGGAGGAUUGUAGAGAAUUUGAUGUUGAGAAUUCAGAGACUUUGUUGAAAGAACAAAGCCGAAUUCGUGAUCCACUUGAUAAUUUGGAAGAUGGGAAUGAGAGGAAUGGGAGGGAAGUGCAUUGCUAUAGGAGGGUAAUUAGGGGGAGGAAUGAUCGUAAUGUUAAUCAUGAUUAUCGUCAUGACGGUGUUGAUUUAUCAGGUCCAUCUGAUAAUGAUAUGAGAGAUUAUAGGAAUAUUGGGAGGUGUGGUGGUGGAGGGGAGGACGGAGUGAGGAUUUGGCUGAAUAGUUUAGGGUUAGGGAGAUACGCACCAGUUUUUGAGAUUCAUGAGGUGGAUGAUGAGGUUUUGCCAAAGUUGACAUUGGAGGAUUUGAAGGAUAUGGGGAUCAAUGCUGUUGGGUCUAGAAGGAAGAUGUUUUGUGCGAUUCAGAAGCUAGGAAAGGGGUUUUCUUGAUGUUUUUUGGUGAGCUUGUAGAGGUUUUUUUAAAUGGAUAACUUUUCUCAGCCAUGAGUCCAGAACUGGUUGCCAGUCCUCAACACUAGAAGAUUGACUUUCUAUUGAGCUCAGAGUUAGUGGUUUUUAGAAAUUGUCAGCAGGAAGUGCAACCUAUCUAAUGAGGUGUGGUCUGGGUUUCAACUUUUAAGGUCCACUGAGGUUGCCAGAAGUUCUAGCUACCUUUUUGUGGUGUAUAGCAGUGCAGUUUUUAACACGCUAAGGUACUCUAAAGUUGUAUGUGGAAUACUUUGCGAACUGCGACUAGGAAAAGUAAGUCAUUGCAUGAAUGAGGACUCAACUUGUGGAGUGGGUUCUGAAAGAGACAGAGGUUACAUUCGAGAAGAGUAUAUGUAGUUCAUAUUUUUGGAGAAUAGGGUUACUGGAUUGGUGAUCCAAUGCAUAGUGCCUUUAUUCAGAGCAUGUUGGUUACUUAAGAGGAAAUAUUAAGCCGAUUACAAAGAUUCAGAGAAGACCAGUUAAGUAACUCAGGUUAGGAUUUUCUUGAUCAAGAAUCGAUGUAGAGGUCUCAAGCUAACUGAACAGUGGUGAAGGGAUGCAUCCCUUUGGUGUCUGUUUCUCAGUAAAGGCGUACCGGUGAAAUUUGUUUUAGCAAGAGCUAUGCUAGAUGCACUCAAUUCUAAGCUAAUGCUAGCUAUACAUGUACCCUUCUUUUGUGGAAUAAAUUGAAUGAUAUACAGAUGUAUGCCAAAACCUAUCAUUUUAUGAUUAUUUUUGACGUUGGGUAAGGGGAUAGAGUAUCAUUGUUGUUGGUUGAUGGAGAGAAAUCUUGGAGCAUUCUAAAGGCUGCAUUACAUGUCUCUUCAUGAAUAAUAAUGUUUCUUUUCCAUUGUUCCUCCUUUUGUGCAUUUAGCUAAGCCCUCUUGUUAGAAUUGAUAUAUAUACCUUGUAUAAGCUAAGCAAGUCUUUGCAAAUUUGCAGGCCAAUUGAUAUAGCUUUGAUCAUAAGUUAAUGUUUGUAGACCAAUUUUUAUGAGAGUAGUCAUGUCCAAUUGGCAUUUUAGGUUUGGGGUCUGCUGGCUUUUAGGUUUCAUUGGCAGAGGACGUGCUUGAAACUUGAAUGCUGGCCUUCAGAGUACAAAUUUCUAGCGUAUUUCUGAGCUGUAGAAGUUCUCUAGAAGUUCGCACAGUUCUUUUUCUUCCAUGCUAUAAAUACCCUCUACAGUGACAAUCACCUUCUUAGGGUUGCCCUCUGCAAUUUGCUGUAUCAGAAAUCAUACUUUGCUCCAUUGUUUAAGAAUCUGUUGGUGUAGAAGAGUGAGCAAAAAAAUAGUUGAAUUAUUUAUGGCAUGGGAUGUUUUAGAAAACUGGAGGAACCUGUCAUUUCUAUUAACUAUACAUAUAGAUAGCUCCACUUUUAAACUCAUCAGCGGUCAUUAAAACAGUUUGAUGAAGUUGAUUUUCAUUAAUUCUCAAUUCUGAAACCGUGAUGUGAAGAAUCCUGAUUUGGUGAUCAUUGAAUUGAUGCAGGAUUGACUAUUCUCCAAUUGCCUUAUUACCUAACCCUAAGUGUUUAAAAUAAUUCCAUGUAAUGUAAGAGCCUCCUUACGAUCAAAGGCCAUCGCAAGGAACAGUUGAACCUCCAAGUUUGACCUAGUCCAAGCCUCCCUUUUUUCUAUCUGCCUUCUUCCUGGAGGCUUCUGACCACGAAGUCAAUUCUAUGUAGAGUUGUCGUCAUGACUUGCAAUACAGGACAAAAAUUGAUUUUUUUUUAAAUUUCUUUUUCGAUCAGUUUUUCUAUUGUUCACAUUUAAUUUCUUGGAAGUUUAAUGUGUAGAUUUGUGAGACGUAGCAAUUAAAAUCAUUCAAUAUUUCUGGAGUGCAAAUCUUAGAUGAGUCCUCUGACUGUAUAUAGCUCCUUGAUGAGUCCUUGAACUACUGAUUUUAUCGAUUGGAUCCCCCUAUCUAGAUUUUUCUUUUCUUACAAUUGGAUCUUUCUGCUAUAAUAAUUAGAGACUGUGUUAGAUAUUGCGCAUUCUACCUGAUUGUUUUCUUACGAAUUCUAAUGGUCCCAGAAUUUAUGCAUGAAAAUAUAUAAUAUUUCUCCCUAUUAGCAAAUGUAAAGCAUAUCCAAUUAUUCCAUUAAUCUAACUGUUCUUGCACGUGUUUGGAGGAGUGAAAAGAUAAGGUAUUUUCAUGUUCAAGUCUUGUGGGAAUCACGAGGGCUAAUGAGAAAACACAUGAAUAGCCCAUGCACCAUUCAAUGUCAUCUUCGAUUUGGAGACCCAAUUGGUAAAAUCAAAAGUUGGAGGACUAAUCCGAGGUUUGCCCACUUCAAAAUUCAAUCCCGGUGACCAUGGAUGAAGAACACUAGACCCCAGAAAAGUGGAUUCAUUCAAAACGCGAUAAAGCCCUCCACGUAUUCACAUAAUUAUAAUUUUUAACACAAGAAGUCAGACAAUGUAUUUGGUUUCGGAGAAAAUAACACCAACAAAUCCAAGAAGUCGAUGUUGCUGUUGCCGGCUUCCUUCCUGCCUCCUUUACCAAUCGGGCGUUCAUUCCUCUAGAAACUUGGAAACUUCCUCCUCUUUAAUUGACCAUCGUCGCACCUCUCCUCUGCUACUUAAAAACCCCCUCUCAAUUUCUUCCAAUCAAAACCAAAAACCUCUCUUUGUCGGCAAAUUCUCUUUCUCGAGAACUCAAAACCAAACAAUCAUGACAAAAUCACGGCAACAUCAUCAUCGUUUCAUAAUUCGCACAAUUCUUCUUCUACUCUCACUUAACUCAGUUCCUUCAAUCUCUGCUCACUUUUUCCCUAACUUCACUUCAAUCCCAGAAGAGUUGCUCAAGAACGCCACCGGUAAUCCGUGGGAUUUCUUCCAACAACUAGCCGGCUGCCACGCAGGUAAAAAAUACGACGGCUUAGCCAAGCUCAAACACUACUUCCAAUACUUCGGCUACAUCCCCAAUUCCCUCUCCAAUUUCACCGAUGAUUUCGACGACUACCUUGAAUCUGCUCUCCGAACUUACCAACAAAACUUCAACCUUAACGUCACUGGCGAACUCGACGACCAAACAGUGAACCACGUCGUGCGGCCCAGAUGCGGCAAUCCGGAUAUAAUCAACGGCUCUACGAGUAUGAACUCUGGCAAGACCAAUAAUACCUCGUCAAGCCAUCACUUACACACGGUCUCUCAUUACAGCUUCUUCACUGGCCAGCCUCGUUGGAGAAAACAAGCCUUAACCUACGUGUUCUCGCCGGAAAAUCAACUAUCCGACGAGGUCAAGGCCGUUUUCUCCCGCGCUUUUGACCGUUGGUCAACGGUGAUUCCAUUGAAUUUCUCACAGACGGAUUCUAUCUACACAGCUGAUAUCCGGAUUGCGUUUUUCAGUGGCGAUCAUGGAGAUGGAGAGCCGUUUGAUGGGGUCUUGGGGACACUUGCACAUGCUUUUUCUCCCCAAAACGGGCGACUCCAUCUUGACGACGACGAGCAUUGGGUUGUGACAGAUGAUGUCAGGACAUCAACGUUGACGUCAGCUGUUGAUUUGGAGUCCGUGGCAGUGCAUGAGAUUGGACAUUUGUUAGGUUUAGGGCAUUCCUCUGUGGAAGAGUCUAUCAUGUACCCUAGUAUUUCUUCAAGGACAAGGAAAGUUGAAUUGGCCACCGAUGACAUUGAAGGGAUCCAAACGCUGUAUGGUAGCAAUCCUAAUUUUAAUGGUUCAUCUGCACAGUCCGUUCAGGAAGAGACUGGUAGCGGUAGCGGUGCCGCCCAUUGUGUCCACUCGAGGUGGGGUCUAACUGGGUUAAUCAUGGCCUUGUGCUUUACUUUCCUUCUUUUGUAGAUUAGACUUUAGAUUAAUUAGGUUACAUAACAUGAAUUUCAUUUUUUAUUUUUAAUUAUUUGGUGGAUUUCAAAAAGGAGCUGUCAUUGGCUCUUUAUAUUUGUAGUUAUUACCAAUUUACCAUUACACUUGGUAUAUUAAUUCACGGAAUACUGUAUUUAUUAUUUAUAUAUCAUUUCUUGCUUUGGAAAUUUCUAUAAUAUAAAUAAACUAUGAGACUAUUUGAUAAUACAAUUAAA